UCCGCAUCAGAUUUCUUGGUGUAACGAAUUUUCAAGUGCUUCUUGCUUAAGCAAGUUUCAACCCGAUCACUCCAUGGUCGGGUUUU
rnacentral:other from 1 species